rnacentral:rRNA from 1 species
UACAGAGGUCUCAAGCGUUGUCCGGAUUUAUUGGGCGUAAAGAGCGUGUAGGCGGCUUUACAGGUCCGUUGUGAAAACUCGAGGCUCAACCUCGAGACGCCGGUGGAAACCGUAAAGCUAGAGUCCGGAAGAGGAGAGUGGAAUUCCUGGUGUAGCGGUGAAAUGCGCAGAUAUCAGGAAGAACACCCGUGGCGAAAGCGGCUCUCUGGGACGGUACUGACGCUGAGACGCGAAAGCGUGGGGAGCGAACAGG